UGCAGUCGNNCGGCAGCAAGGAGCUUGCUCUGGUGGCGAGUGGCGAACGGGUGAGUAAUGCGUCGGAACGUAUCCAAUAAUGGGGGAUAACGCAGCGAAAGCUGUGCUAAUACCGCAUACGCCCUCCGGGGGAAAGCAGGGGAUCGUAAGACCUUGCGUUAAUGGAGCGGCCGACGUCUGAUUAGCUAGUUGGUAGGGUAAAGGCCUACCAAGGCGACGAUCAGUGGCUGGUCUGAGAGGAUGAUCAGCCACACUGGGACUGAGACACGGCCCAGACUCCUACGGGAGGCAGCAGUGGGGAAUUUUGGACAAUGGGCGCAAGCCUGAUCCAGCCAUUCCGCGUGAGUGAAGAAGGCCUUCGGGCUGUAAAGCUCUUUCAGGAGGGAAGAAACGAUUGUGGCUAAUACCCAUGAUUAAUGACGGUACCUUCAGAAGAAGCACCGGCUAACUACGUGCCAGCAGCCGCGGUAAUACGUAGGGUGCGAGCGUUAAUCGGAAUUACUGGGCGUAAAGCGUGCGCAGGCGGUUUUUCAAGUCUGAUGUGAAAUCCCCGGGCUUAACCUGGGAACUGCGUUGGAAACUGAAAGACUAGAGUGCGGCAGAGGGGGGUAGAAUUCCACGUGUAGCAGUGAAAUGCGUAGAUAUGUGGAGGAAUACCGAUGGCGAAGGCAGCCCCCUGGGUCGACACUGACGCUCAUGCACGAAAGCGUGGGUAGCAAACAGGAUUAGAUACCCUGGUAGUCCACGCCCUAAACGAUGUCAACUAGUUGUUGGGGAGGGAGANCUCCUUAGUAACGCAGCUAACGCGUGAAGUUGACCGCCUGGGGAGUACGGUCGCAAGAUUAAAACUCAAAGGAAUUGACGGGGGCCCGCACAAGCGGUGGAUUAUGUGGAUUANUUC
rnacentral:rRNA from 1 species